rnacentral:lncRNA from 1 species
CCGGGCUGAAGACUGGGAUGGGGGCAGGGCGCAGAGGCAGAUUCGGAAAGGCAGGAGUGUGAAUGUUACCCUCAGGGCACAUCUCAUUUUGGACCAGCCACAUUUUAAGCUCUCAAGAUCCACACGCGGACAAGUGGCUGCCACAUCCGACCGUGCAGAAGAGGAUGAUGGCGCCAUCGGAGAUCUGGAGGGUGGCUUCCUCAAAGUCCAGAUUUAACAGGUGACAGUGUGCCUCCAGGAGACAGCGUGGCUACGGUCAAGACCCUGGAGUCUGCAGCCAGACUGUGGGGUUCAGAUACUAGUUCUGGAACUUGCAAGUUGCAGCUCCAACUUGAAAGGGGAACCACCCACAAGGCCUCAGAGGGAUGUUGUGAAGAUUAAACGAAUGAAUAAGCAUGGAACACUGAGAACAGGGCCUGGCACAUAUUAAGGGCGGUGUGAGGGUUGACUUUUAUUACCGAUUGGAGAUUCAGGAAAGAGAAAAUCUCUCGGGUCCACAUGAAAAGUUGAAGAAUGAACACUCCUUGCAAAACUUCUCAUCCUCAAAGUGGAGGAUGCCCAGGCCAUGGGGGCGCACACAACUUGUCACACGCGUGUGGGAUGCACGGGCCACUCCGGGUCCCCCAGGGCGAGUGUGCCCGCCGUCCCUGCUGGAACGGGCCUGCGCCAUCCCAAAGCUUUGGCCGCCUCCCAGUGUCAACGCUGCCGCCUGUUCUCCGGUCCUCACUUUUCUGUUCUAAUCUGUGCAGUGACUUGAAUGGCGUGCGCCACCUCCCCCCCCCCCCCCCCCCCCCCCCCCCCCCCGUCCCAGAUGGGUCCACCUGAGACCUGUGCAUGUGAGCUUCUUUGAAAAAAGGGUCUUUGCGGAUGCUAUUCAGGUGAGGAUCUCAGAUGAGCUCCUCCUGGAUUAUCAGGACAGGCCCUGAACCUGACAGCAAGCAUCCUUAGACGAGAAAGGCAGAGGGCGACGGGACACAGAGCAGAAGAGACGCCACGUGAAGAUGGAGGCAGAGACUGCGUGAGGCAGCCAAGCUAAGGGCGCCUGAGGCCGCCAGAGGCUGGAGGAGAAGAGCAGGAUCCUCCCCAGAACCUUUGGAGGGAGGGUGGCUCCGCUGACACUUUGAUUUAGGACUUCCGGCCUCCAGAGAAUAAAUUUCUUUUGUUUUAAGCUACCAAGUUGGUAGUAAUUUGUUACAGCAGCACAGGAAAUGAAUACAAUCUGUUUGGGGGCCUGCCUCCUCCACCCUGAAGGCAGAGUUUCUAUGGCUUUCAGAUACCAUCUCCUCCAGCCCUCCCUCACAGGAGGAAACUGAGGCUGGGAAAGAGGGCGGGGCCGGAACUAGACCUCAGGCCCCCAGCUCAAGGGGUCUCUGUGGAAACUUGCAGAGUAUUUUGCCUCUUGAAAACAUACAGAAUUUUCUCUUUUUUUUUGAGGAAGAUUAGCCCUGAGUUAACUACUGCCAAUCCUCCUCUUUUUGCUGAGGAAGACUGGCCCUGAGCUAAGAUCUGUGCCCAUCUUCCUCUACUUUAUAUGUGGGAUGCCUACCACAGCAUGGCGUGCCAAGCGGUGCCAUGUCUGCACCCAGGAUCCGAACCAGUGAACCCCAGGCCACCAGGAAGAGGAAUGUGCAAACUUAACCGCUAUGCCACCGGGCCGGCCCCAGUGGUGGAGAACAUAAGCUUCAGUUUGGUUUGGUUGCUUCUUUGCUGUGUGGCCUUAGGCAAGAGACGAACCUCUCUGUACUUUAGUUUUUCCCUCUCUAAAAUGAAAAGAACAGGAUAAGUCAUCUCAGAAGGUUGCCAUGUGGAGUAUGUGAGCAUUGAUCAACUUUACCAUGUGACAUAAUCCUGGAAGUCUCUGCAAAUACUAUAAGACAAGAAAAAUAAAUGAGAGGUAAAGAUCAGAAGGCAGGAGAUAAAACUGUCAUUUGGAUCUUUUUUUUUUCCUGAAGAUUGGCACCUGAGCUAACAACCGUUGCCAAUCUUCUUUUGUUUUUUGAGGAAGAUCAGCUCUGAGCUAACAUCUGCUGCCAAUCCUCCUCUUUUUGCUGAGGAAGACUGGCCCCGAGCUAACAUCCAUGCCCAUCUUCCUCCACUCUAUACGUGGGAUGCCUGCCACAGCAUGGCUUGACAAGCGGUGCCAUGUUCCUACCGGGAUCUGAACCAGUGAACCCCAGGCUGCCGAGAAGUGGAAUGUGCAAACUUAACCCUUGCACCACCGGGCCGGUCCCCUUUUUUUUUUUACUCUUCUCCCCAAAGGCCCCCAGUAUGUAGUUGUAGAUUCUAGUUGUGGGUCCUUCUAGUUGUGGCAUGUGGGAUGCCGCCUCAGCAUGGCCUGACAAGUGGUGCCAUGUCUGCCCCCAGGAUCCAAACUGGGGAAACCCUGGGCCGCCGAAGCGGUGCCCGCAAACUUAACCACUCGGCCACAGGACCAGCCCUGGAUCAUUUUCAAGGCAAAACUAAGAGAAUCCACAGACUGUUUUAAUAUGAGAAUUUGGCCAGAUUGCCUGUUAGAAGGUCAGCCACCAAUAUUUAAUAGCAUUAGUCAGCUAGAAAUUAUAAUAGAAAUAAGGAGUUAAUAAACUUGAAAAAUACCAUCUACACAUACACUGAUGGUUCUCAGAUUUCAGUCUUGAGCCCAGCGCUCCCUCCUGUCUCCUGGACGUUCCCACUGGGCUGUCUCAAAGCUUUCUCCCAGCCUCAGAAUUCUCAGGCUUCUUCUCAUUCUGCUCUUCUGGUUCAUGUUACUGCCAGUCCCGCAGACCCAAGCCGCCUUCUUGACUCCCCAGCACCCCAGUCCAGGCUGAUCUGAUCUUCCCAGGACAGCUGCAGUCUCUUCCUUGCUGGGCCUCCUGCUUCCAUCCUUGCUCCACUUGGAAUGAAAUCCAUGAUACUUACCACGGCCUUCAAGGCCUUACACGAUCUCAUCUCUUGAUUGUCCAGCCUCAUUUCUUGCCACUCCUUUCCUCGCUUCCUCUGCUUCAGCUACAAGGGCCUGCUUUGUGUUCCUAAAACUCACCAAGGAAUUUCCCACCACAGGGACUUUGCACAAGCUGCUCCUGCUGCCUUGAAAGCUCUCCCUCCCUUCACCUAGCAGACUCCAUCAUCCUUUAAGUCUCUUUUUAACUGCUCCUUUGACAGACAAACCUCCGCUGCCCUCCCAUAAAUGAUGUCCCCACAUUCUUGUCCUUCCUGACACUUAGGUUUAUAUGAUUAUUAGUUCAGAGAUUCUUUUUUUUUUUUUUUUGGAGGAAGAUUAGCCCUGAGCUUCUGCUGCCAAUCUUCCUCUUUUUUUUUCCUGAGGAAGACUGGCCCUGAGCUAACAUCUGCGCCCAUCUUCCUCUACUUUAUAUGUAGGACGCCUACCACAGCAUGGCUUGCCAAGCGGUGCCAUGUCCACACCAGGAUCUGAACCAGCAAACCCCGGGCCGCUGAAGCGGAACGUGCGCACUUAACUGCUGCACCACCAGGCCGGCCCCUAGUUCAGAGAUUCUUAAACUCUUUGGCCACAGGCCCCCUUAUGCUCUUAAAAAUUAUUAAGGACCCCAAAGAGUUUUUGUUGAUGUGGAUUAUAUCUAUCAAUAUUCACUGUAUUGGAAAUUUAAGAAAUAUUUAUUGAUUCAUUUAAAAAUAACAAAAAACAAUUUCAUGUUAACAUAAAUCAUAUCAUCUUAAUUAAAAAUUACCAUAUUUUGGGGGCUGGCCUGUUGGCGUAGUGGUUAAGUUCGUGAACUCUGCUUCAGUGGCCCAGGGUUCGCAGGUUCAGAUCCCUAGUGUGGACCUACACACGGCUCAUCAAGCCAUGCUGUGGCGGCGUCCCACAUAAAAUACAGGAAGACUGGCACAGAUGUAACGCUCAGGGCCAAUUUUCCUCACCAAAAAACAAAAACCAAAACCAUAUUUUCCAAAACAAAAAAAAAAGUUUGGUGAUGGGGCCAGCCUGGUGGUGCAGCGGUUAAGUGCACACAUUCCACUUCAGUGGCUGGGGGUUCGAGGUUCGGAUCCUGGGUGGGA